rnacentral:lncRNA from 1 species
UAAAAAGCACAAAAUUUUGAAAGGAAACAAAAAAUAUUUUAAAAAUAUGCAAGAAAAUUGGGAGGGAGCAAGGUGGGAAAAUAAGGAUGAUAGAAUACUGUGGAAUGGAUUAUUUUUGCAAGCUUUUCUAUAUCUGUGGAGAGAGGCAGGAACAGAAUGUUUUCUAUACUCAUUAAUCAAUUGCAAACAAAUGUGUGUGUGAUCCCGACAUGAAUGACAUCAGUUCAUCAUACUUUAACAUCUUGGUAAUGUCUACUGUGGAAUCUGUGUAAAUUGUGUUAAGCUGGGUCCACACUGCUCAUGUUCAUACUCGUUUCAACUCAUCAAGCAUUAGGUCAGGCUUGUAUAGUGUACAUCCACACUGGCAUUAGUUGUUCUCAAGCUUCUGGCUCAGUAGGAGCUGACAAUGGAUUAUGAAGUAAAAAUAGGAAGCCAUUAAUAGAAAACUCACACUUGCUAUGCUUUUUUUUUUUACAACUUUAUAUAAAUUUGUGAGUGCUAUCCCACAGAUUUAUAAAAUGGAUGAUUACAUCAUUUGACCAUUCCAUAUUAUCAAUACAAGCAAUAGAUGAUUAAAUAAUAAAUAAUACUUAAUCAGAGCCCCUCCAGAUUUUUUAAUCAAGCGCAACCAGCCCACUGAACUACAACCUCAUUCCUGUCUACAAUGCCUGCACAACUCUUGAGCUCCUCUCAUGUACUGACGACAAGCAGAUCCCCGUGAGCCUCAGGCUUGUGCUGCUCGCCUGGCUUGUUUCGUGACUUUUCUCCCCAUCCACAUUACUUGCAAGCCCAACAAGUUAGUUAAGUACGAACAUGAAUAAUGUGGACCCAGCUUUAGAGAGAUAUCUCAAAUCAUUCAGAACUGCAUCAAGUUUGAUUGUCCUCAUCUGUAAUGGGAAGAAGGGGAGAGAUGAAUGCUUGAAUUACAUAAGUUUACUGAAUAUGGCCAGAAAGGUAUUUGAUAAGAUUGAUGAGAAUGUAUGGAUUGUCACAAUUAUACAAAGAGAACCCAAAGUGUUUCUACAUUGAGGAAGAGGGUAUUUUGCACAUUUUUGAAUCCUGAGAAAACAUAUGACUGAAUGAGUAGAAGUAUAGAAUGAUGUGAAUGAAUGGCUGGUUGGGGUAGUGAAAGCAAAGUAUGCUAAGAACUAUUCACUUUUGCACUUGCAAAGAUACAUUAGAAUGGUGUGUAAUUGAGGAAGAGAUAUCCUUGGGAUGUUUAAUUUGUACAUAGAUGCAUGUUUGAGUGAAUUAGGUAUGAAGAUGGGUGAGGUGAAUGACUUAAUUCACAACAGAGCAUAAAGUGCUUCAUUCAAUCAUGUAACAAGCAGUGAGAAUAAUCAAAAAUGCAUGUGUUUGAGAAGGAUGAGAACAAAAAAAGUUUGAGAGUGAACUGAAUGGGGUUUUCCUGGAACAAGUAAUGAAUUUAUAUACUUGGAAAAUAUGUUUGCUAUCAAUACUUCUUUUCUCUUUCUAAGUUAUUAGAAGAGUAAAUACUAGAUUGAAAGCUGUGUGUGCACUUGGAAAGUAUACUAGGAAUAAGAAGCUGUCAAAAAAUGCUGGAAUGGCUGAGUUUGACAAUAUUGGUUAGUCUCAACAUUGAUUUAUGGGAAUAAUGGUUUGAAAGGUAGAUAGAAAAACAACUGAAUGCAAGAGAGAUGAGAUACUUGAAAGGUGUUGUUAGAGUAAUUCAAAUGACAAAACACAAAAGGAACAUAAUAGAUGAGAGUGCAAAUCAACUUUGAGAUGGUUUGGUUUAACGAACAAGUGAAGACUAAGUGACUGUAUAUUAAAUAUGCGAUUGAUAAGUGGAAGAGGAAGGUCAAAGAGAAAAAGCAAAGAACAAGUGGAUGAAUAUUUGAGGAUGUAUAGGGUUUGAGUAUAAGAGGAGAGUGAUUAUAAAAGAAUCUGGUAUAGUGUAUAGGAAUAGGGAUGUAUGGUGCUGUCUAAUCAGUGAUGUAUGAGAAGUUUUGUAAUUUAACCACUGACCAUCCUCUUACAAGUUUGUGAACAUUGUCCUAUUAUGCAAUAUCAUCAUCAUCAUUUAUAUGGAAAAC